GACCAAAGUAGAAGUUUGACAUUCAUGAGAAGGUGUGUUGUAUCGACUUGAUAUUUUGUCUUGUAUACAUUUGAAGUAUAUUCUGAAAGGGAGUCAUGCGUCAUGCAUGCACUGUGAGUGUGUGUUAUUGUGUGUGUGUGUGUACGUUUCUGUAUAUUCAAGUAUUAAGUAUUUAUGGUGUAAAUACCUGUAGCUCCAAUAUGCUCCUGAGCACAACAAGUAAAGACCAUGUAUUCUGGAGGAAGAAGUCAAAGGUUGGUCAGUGUUGCCUGUUCUUCAAGGCAGGAGUAGUAUUGUGUUCUUUAAGGCAGGAGUAGUAGUGUGUUCUUCAAGGCAGGAGUAGUAUUGUGUUCUUCAGGGCAGGAGUAGUAUUGUGUUCUUCAAGGCAGGAGUAGUACUGUGUUCUUCAAGGCAGGAGUAGUAUUGUGUUCUUCAAGGCAGGAGUAGUAGUGUGUUCUUCAAGGCAGGAGUAGUAGUGUGUUCUUCAAGGCAGGAGUAGUAUUGUGUUCUUCAAGGCA
ensembl:lncRNA